rnacentral:rRNA from 1 species
CCAGACUCCUACGGGAGGCAGCAGUGAGGAAUAUUGGUCAAUGGUCGGGAGACUGAACCAGCCAAGCCGCGUGAGGGAUGAAGGUACAGAGUAUCGUAAACCUCUUUUGUCAGGGAACAAAGGCGGGGACGUGUCCCCGGAUGAGUGUACCUGAAGAAAAAGCAUCGGCUAACUCCGUGCCAGCAGCCGCGGUAAUACGGAGGAUGCGAGCGUUAUCCGGAUUUAUUGGGUUUAAAGGGUGCGCAGGCGGGAGGGGCAAGGCCGGGGUAAAAUGGGGGGGCUCAACCCCGGCGAGCCGUUGAAACUGCUCUUCUAGAGUGGGCGAGAAGUAUGCGGAAUGCGUGGUGUAGCGGUGAAAUGCAUAGAUACCACGCAGAACUCCGAUUGCGAAGGCAGCAUACCGGCGCCCAACUGACGCUCAUGCACGAAAGCGUGGGUAUCGAACAGGAUUAGAUACCCUUGUAGG